rnacentral:rRNA from 1 species
GUCCACACCCUAAACGAUGUUUACUCGUUGUUUGGCUUUAGGGCUGAGCGACCAAGCGAAAGCGUUAAGUAAACCACCUGGGGAGUAUGCCGGCAACGGUGAAACUAAAAGGAAUUGACGGGGGGUCCGCACAAGCGGUGGAGUAUGUGGUUUAAUUCGAUGAUACGCGAGGAACCUUACCUGGGCUAGAAUGUGAGUGAAUGCGUAUGAAAGUAUGCAGUCAGCAAGGACACAAAACAAGGUGCUGCAUGGCUGUCGU